AAGUCAUAACAAGGUUUCCGUAGGUGAACCUGCGGAAGGAUCAUUAAUAGUGCCCUUUGAUGCAAGUCAUUGGGUUAGAUCUGCUCUCCUCGCAAGAGGAGGGUUUCCAUACACACCGUGACCUGUGGCUUCGGCCAUCACAAACUGUUAGUAAUGAAUGUAAAAUCAUAACAAAAACAAAA
rnacentral:misc_RNA from 1 species